GCUCGCUUGGCGGAAUGGUAGACGCGGUAGACUCAAAAUCUAUUUCUUUUAAGAGUGUCGGUUCAAGUCCGAUAGCGGGUA
rnacentral:tRNA from 1 species